GAAUGCCGAGCUAGGAAGUGAGGACAUGUUGAUUUUAGAAAUAAAAAGCCUAACUUAACCUUCUUAUACAAUGUCGCCCUAGGAAGCUGUCGGUUCCAUAAUAGUCGUCGUACAUGCUGCAUAUGUAACGGCGCUGUGUGAGUAGAGUGGACUGACUGGUCGCCAUGUCUACAGCGCGCCGUAUAGCGCUGGGCUCCUUGUUAGUCAUGGGCUGGACGGGACUGGGCUGUGUGCUCUGGGCGUUUAUAGCACCGGGACAUGAGCAAUUGCUGGAGAUGCGGAGGCAAGAAACCAAACAGCAUCCUGCUAAAAUGGCUGAGAUACGCCAA